CUACGGGAGGCAGCAGUGGGGAAUUUUGGACAAUGGGGGCAACCCUGAUCCAGCCAUGCCGCGUGCGGGAAGAAGGCCUUCGGGUUGUAAACCGCUUUUGUCGGGGAAGAAAUCCUCCGGGCUAACACCUCGGGGGGAUGACGGUACCCGGAGAGUAAGCACCGGCUAACUACGUGCCAGCAGCCGCGGUAAUACGUAGGGUGCAAGCGUUAAUCGGAAUUACUGGGCGUAAAGCGUGCGCAGGCGGUUGUGCAAGACAGAUGUGAAAUCCCCGGGCUUAACCUGGGAACUGCAUUUGUGACUGCACGGCUGGAGUGCGGCAGAGGGGGAUGGAAUUCCGCGUGUAGCAGUGAAAUGCGUAGAUAUGCGGAGGAACACCGAUGGCGAAGGCAAUCCCCUGGGCCCGCACUGACGCUCAUGCACGAAAGCGUGGGGAGCAAACAGGAUUAGAAACCCUGGUAGUCC
rnacentral:rRNA from 1 species